AAAUGCGGGAAGCAGGGUGAUCCUAUGCUGCCAAGAAAAUCUUCUAGCGAGGUUCGAGCCGCCCGUACCCCAAACCGACUCAGGUGGUUAGGUAGAGAAUACCAAGGCGAUCGAGUGAAUCGUGGUUAAGGAAUUCGGCAAAAUGCCCCCGUAACUUCGGGAGAAGGGGGGCCCAGACCUUGAAGGACUUCACGUCCUAGGGGAAAGGGCCGCAGAGACCAGGGAGAAGCGACUGUUUACUAAAAACACAGGUCCGUGCGAAGUCGCAAGACGAUGUAUACGGACUGACGCCUGCCCGGUGCUGGAAGGUUAAGAGGACCGGUUAGACCUUCGGGUCGAAGCUGAGAAUUUAAGCCCCAGUAAACGGCGGUGGUAACUAUAACCAUCCUAAGGUAGCGAAAUUCCUUGUCGGGUAAGUUCCGACCUGCACGAAUGGCGUAACGACUUCUCCACUGUCUCAACCGCGAACUCGGCGAAAUUGCACUACGAGUAAAGAUGCUCGUUACGCGCAGCAGGACGGAAAGACCCCGGGACCUUUACUAUAGCUUGGUAUUGGUGUUCGGUACGGCUUGUGUAGGAUAGGUGGGAGACUGUGAAGCAUGCACGCCAGUGUGUGUGGAGUCAACGUUGAAAUACCACUCUGGUCGUUCUGGAUAUCUAACCUCGGUCCGUGAUCCGGAUCAGGGACAGUGCCUGGUGGGUAGUUUAACUGGGGCGGUUGCCUCCUAAAAGGUAACGGAGGCGCUCAAAGGUUCCCUCAGCCUGGUUGGCAAUCAGGUUUCGAGUGUAAGUGCACAAGGGAGCUUGACUGCGAGAGAGACAUCUCGAGCAGGGACGAAAGUCGGAACUAGUGACCCGGCGGUGGCUUGUGGAAGCGCCGUCGCUCAACGGAUAAAAGGUACCCCGGGGAUAACAGGCUGAUCUUGCCCAAGAGUCCAUAUCGACGGCAUGGUUUGGCACCUCGAUGUCGGCUCGUCGCAUCCUGGGGGUGGAGUUGCUCCCAAGGGUUGGGCUGUUCGCCCAUUAAAGCGGUACGCGAGCUGGGUUUAGAACGUCGUGAGACAGUUCGGUCCCUAUCCGCUGUGCGCGUAGGAAACUUGAGAAGGGCUGACCCUAGUACGAGAGGACCGGGUUGGACGAACCUCUGGUGUGUCAGUUGUCCUGCCAAGGGCCCGGCUGAUUAGCUACGUUCGGAAGUGAUAACCGCUGAAAGCAUCUAAGCGGGAAGCACGCUUCAAGAUGAGGUUUCCAUGGGGUUUACCCCGAGAGGCUCCCGGCUAGACUACCGGGUUGAUAGGCCAGACGUGGAAGUGCAGCAAUGCAUGUAGCUGACUGGUACUAAUAAGCCGACAACUUGAC
rnacentral:rRNA from 1 species